GAUCUGGCUAAAAGAUCCAUGAGAGUCUCACAGGCAUGGAAAGCCAUGACACAGUGGCAAAAAACAAUCUAAAUGAAAGAUCCUGGUGAACAAGACCCCAGCAGAAGGAACAGGCCAUCAAGGAGAGAGGUGCCUUUCUCUGAAGGGAGGAAGGAACCUCCACUGUGAUAUACGGCCUUGACUAAACAAGUUCAGAGUCGGUGAACUCAAGGGGCUUCCAUAGCCUAGACAGCUCAUAGCAAGAGUCUCGGGUGAUUGCUGACAUCAUAAAUAAGAGUGCCAAUUGUUAAAUCAACAAUGGGAGUCACUGGGUACAUGGUCCCCAUGUAGGAUCUCUGUCCUUAAUGUGUUCUGCUAUGAAACUUAAAAACAACACUACUAGUCGAACAAUACCCUAUACCUUGUGCGGUUGUGUGAGUGCAGCCUGUUGAAAUCCUUGCUUAGUAUAUACUAAGUUGAUCUUCAGUGUAUGAAGAGUUUCUCCAGCAUGAGCUCUGGAGGCUGAAGUACAUCAUAAUAUAGAAGAUGAUACUGCUGUUAUUCCAUUACCCAUUUGGAACCUCUCCUGGACAUUUCUGUUUUCAUCAGCUUCCCUUCAGAAAGAAAAACAGGAGAAAAUUGGAGUUCCCGUUGGUGUUCUUUCCGGAUCUCCUUUAUGUCGCAUCUGAGCACCAUCCCCCGUGCUGUAUCCACUGGAAUGACCCUCUUCACAGAACUACCUGCAGUCUUGACAAAACCAAACGAACGAAAAGCCUCCAGCUUUCCUCAGAGAUCUUAGCCAACGUCUUAUAAGGAUAGAAAGGGCCAGCUCCUUGUGUCAGAGGAAUCCAGCUGUGGGGUGCUGUUCCUGCACAGCACUUUUCUGUGCGAUUAGACAGAAGCUGAUGACCAGUAGAGACGACUUCCCUGCUGAGUUUCUAUUUCCUGUCUUGCUCUGCUUCCUUAUGCACCCCCUUCUCCCUGGAGAUACUCCCUCAGUAAUCAUUGGAAAAUAACUUCCAUUUCAGGCUUUACUUCUAGUUAGCUGAAGACAAAACUCCAUCUAAUAUGAGAAAAAAAGGGACAAAUAUAUACAUAUAUGAAACAUUUUAUGAACUGCAGACUACUACAAAAUUUUUAAAUAUGUAAAAUUAUAAAGCAAGUAAAGAGAUCAGUGUUUUUAUUCCUUUCUCCUAAAACUACCACCUUUUGGGAACUUGACUACUUGUCCCUUCUUUCUCAAAUGUCAACAUAAGAAACUAACAAAUGCAGUCAGCCCUACUUAUCUUUGGGUUCUCCAUCCACAAAUUCAACUAAACUCAUUCAAAAAUAUCCAGGAAAUAUUGUGUCUGUAUGAAUAUGUAUAAACUUUUGUGUGCUGUUCUCCUAAACAAUGUAGUAUUACAAUUUUCAUGAAAUUUACAUUGUACUAAGUAUUAUAAAUAAUAGAGAAACGAUUGAAAGUACACAGGAAGAAAUGUGUCAAUUACAGUACUAUGUAUUAUGUAGAUUAUCAAUACUGUGCCAUUUUUUGUAAGGGGCAUGAGCGUCUGCAAAUUUUAGUAUCCACUAGGAGUCCUGGAACCAAUCCUACAAUGAUAUGGAGGGAUGACUGUACGUUUAUAACUGGGUUACUAGGCCAGUGAGCCAAAGUCUUGUGGCCUUGAGAUCAUGAGUCAUACAAGAGUCUGAAAAGAAAACACAGUGAAUGUGAUUAGACUGCCUUGGUUGUAGUGGCUUAGUCUGGGUGAAUAUAUUUCACUAACUUAGAGGUAUUUGAUGCUUUUUUUCCUUGAGUACCUCCAAAAUAACUUUAAUUAUAUUUUAGUUGUAAAGUUUUGAAUUGAGAGUUUAUUAAACAUAAUUGCUAAUUUCCAGCAUAUUGUAUAUUGCACUUGCAGGUUAACUAUUUUUAAUCAAAAUAUUAGCAUGGCAAAUUUAAUUUAGAGAAAAUGUCUGCCAAAAAGCUUAGUUGGAAAAGCCAAUUUUUGAUUCUGAAACCGAUAAUCUAAAGUUGACUUUUCUAUAGAAAAAUAAACCACUGAUUUUGCCUUUAAAUUCCAAAAAAAAAAAAAACCCACACAUGUAAAUACAUGUCUACUAUUCUGAAUUCUGACACACACAAGGAACUCAUGGUUCUCGGGAGGCAGAUACAGUCACAGGAGGCUAGGCAUCAGUCUGUGACUAGACAAGAAAAGACACUUUCCAUUCCACUGCUUUGCUUGAUGCCUUCCUGCAUUUAGCGUCUUGUGACACUCCCUCAGCAUCAGGUCUCAAAUAGUCCGUG